CCCUUAGAUGUUCUGGGCCGCACGCGUGCUACACUGAACGGUUCAAUGGGUAAGGUAGUGCGAAAGCAUGACCUAAUCUCGAAAUCCGUCCGUGCUGGGGAUAGAAGCUUGCAAUUAUCCUUCUUGAACGAGGAAUACCUUGUAAGCGUGAGUCAUCAUCUCACGCUGAAUACGUCCCUGCCCUUUGUACACACCGCCCGUCGCUCCUACCGAUUGAGUGUUCCGGUGAGGCUUUGGGAGAAUGGCCUCAACAUGAGUUUAUCGUGUUUUGCCGUUUGAACUUAGUCAAACCUUAUCACUUAGAGGAAGGAGAAGUCGUAACA
rnacentral:rRNA from 1 species